rnacentral:rRNA from 1 species
CCUACGGGAGGCAGCAGUGGGGAAUCUUGCGCAAUGGGCGAAAGCCUGACGCAGCAACGCCGCGUGCGGGAAGAAGGCCUUCGGGUUGUAAACCGCUUUCAGCAGGAACGAAAAUGACGGUACCUGCAGAAGAAGGUGCGGCCAACUAUGUGCCAGCAGCCGCGGUGAUACAUAGGCACCAAGCGUUGUCCGGAUUUAUUGGGCGUAAAGAGCUCGUAGGCGGUUCAGUCAGUCGGGUGUGAAAACUCUGGGCUUAACCCAGAGCCUGCACCCCGAUACUGCUGUGACUAGAGUUCGGUAGGGGAGCGGGGAAUUCCUGGUGUAGCGGUGAAAUGCGCAGAUAUCAGGAGGAACACCGAUGGCGAAGGCACCGCUCUGGGCCGAAACUGACGCUGAGGAGCGAAAGCAUGGGUAGCAAACAGGAUUAGAUACCCUGGUAGUCCAUGCCGUAAACGUUGGGCACUAGGUGUGGGUUCCAAUCAACGGAAUCCGCGCCGUCGCUAACGCAUUAAGUGCCCCGCCUGGGGGAGGUACGGUCGCGAGACGAAACGUAACUAAGUAAGUUAGUUAGUACGUUGNGAGNGCGACGACGACGACGAGGAGGAGG